AGAGUGAACGCUGGCGGCAGGCCUAACACAUGCAAGUCGAACGGCAGCACAGCCCCGCAAGGGGUGGGUGGCGAGUGGCGGACGGGUGAGGAAUACAUCGGAAUCUACCCUGUCGUGGGGGGAUAACGUAGGGAAACUUACGCUAAUACCGCAUACGACCCACGGGUGAAAGCGGCGGACCGCAAGGCGUCGCGCGAUUGGAUGAGCCGAUGUCCGAUUAGCUAGUUGGCGGGGUAAAGCCCACCAAGGCGACGAUCGGUAGCUGGUCUGAGAGGAUGAUCAGCCACACUGGAACUGAGACACGGUCCAGACUCCUACGGGAGCAGCAGUGGGGAAUAUGGACAAUGGGACGCAAGCCUGAUCCAGCCAUGCCGCGUGUGUGAAGAAGGCCUUGGGUUAGUAAAGCUACGUUUUUGUACCCGGAAAAGAACUCCUAGUCCGGUUAAGUACCCGGU
rnacentral:rRNA from 1 species